rnacentral:rRNA from 1 species
GACGUAGGGGGCCAGCGUUGUCCGGAAUCAUUGGGCGUAAAGCGCGUGUAGGCGGCCCGGUAAGUCCGCUGUGAAAGUCCAGGGCUCAACCCUGGGAUGCCGGUGGAUACUGUCGGGCUCGAGUCCGGAAGAGGAGAGUGGAAUUCCUGGUGUAGCGGUGAAAUACGCAGAUAUCAGGAAGAACACCAAUGGCGAAGGCAGCUCUCUGGGACGGUACUGACGCUGAGACGCGAAAGCGUGGGGAGCGAACAGG